AGAGUUUGAUCCUGGCUCAGAUUGAACGCUGGCGGCAUGCUUUACACAUGCAAGUCGAACGGUAACAGGCCGCAAGGUGCUGACGAGUGGCGAACGGGUGAGUAAUGUAUCGGAACGUGCCCAGUCGUGGGGGAUAACGCAGCGAAAGCUGCGCUAAUACCGCAUACGAUCUAUGGAUGAAAGCGGGGGACCGUAAGGCCUCGCGCGAUUGGAGCGGCCGAUAUCAGAUUAGGUAGUUGGUGGGGUAAAGGCUCACCAAGCCGACGAUCUGUAGCUGGUCUGAGAGGACGACCAGCCACACUGGGACUGAGACACGGCCCAGACUCCUACGGGAGGCAGCAGUGGGGAAUUUUGGACAAUGGGCGCAAGCCUGAUCCAGCAAUGCCGCGUGCAGGAAGAAGGCCUUCGGGUUGUAAACUGCUUUUGUACGGAACGAAACGGUCCUGGUUAAUACCUGGGGCUAAUGACGGUACCGUAAGAAUAAGCACCGGCUAACUACGUGCCAGCAGCCGCGGUA
rnacentral:rRNA from 1 species